rnacentral:lncRNA from 1 species
AAUAGGAAAGAGAGAGAGAGAUGGAAUGAAAAACUUUCAAAGCUGGAAGGACAAAAGGAGUUUCCUGUUAUGAAAGGGACGUAGAAGAUGCACUACCCAGAAGCAUAGACGUGACCCCCUCCAACUCAUCAUCUGAGAUCAGCUGUCCUAAUACUUUUCUUUCUGGUCUGGAAGCUCUAUGACAAUGAGGAAUUUCUCUAUCUCACCUUUAUACCCUCAGAGCCUAGAAGAGUCCCUGGUACUAGCUGCUCUCUGUUUCUUGAGGCAGGAAGACAAGGAAAGUGUUCCGUACCAUUUCACCACUGAGGAAACUGAGUCUAGAGGAGUUACAUUUUCUGCUGAAGAUCACAUAGCCAAUGGAACUUGUUUCUGCCUCCCAGACAAUUUUCUGCUGUCAUCUCAAGGAGGUGAGUCAGACAUUUCUCCUGGACUCCCAUAUACUGAUGACAUCCAAUAUUUUGCAAAUGGAAAUAUGCAAGAAAGGUGCUCAUAAAUAAAUAAUGAACACUGCUCAUCAUGAUUUUCUGUGGCGCUUUCUCACUGUCCCAAGUGCUAUAAGGCCAGCCUAAUGAGCCUCUUGUGACCACAGGAGGAACACGGUUCAGAGACGGUAAGUGCUUUUUAUUGAGAUGUAUAAUUUCCCUCUUAAAUUCAUUAAAAGUUUCUAAAACAAAUAAAUAAAACAUAAUUGAUACAGAUCCAGCCUCCUUUUCUUCCAUAGAUCAUUAAGAAGUUGUAAUUGCUUCUCAGCCCUCAGGAAGCUCUCAUCUCUAAGAAUAGAGUGUUAGUUGUGACUCCCUGGCAAUUGUUAUUAUUCUGAGAAAUUAAUUUACUCUAAUUAGUUUUAAGCCCAUUAACAGAAAUAGAAAGCCAUGCAAGGAAAGGGAGGUCUGAAAACAACAUUUUCCUCAGCCCAUUGUAAGAACUUUCCAUGUGCUUAACAAUUUGGCCAGUGGAAUUCAAACCUUGUUAAAAUCCAAACAAAACACAUAUAAAUCAAGAUAUAACUAGUAUGGCUCCUAAACGGCACAUUAGCU